CUCUUAUCCAGAGCAGGCGGAGGGACUGGCCCUAUGAAGCCCGGCAACCGAGCUAGAGCGGUGCUAACCAGCAGAACGGACAUCUGUUCUGGCCGAUAAGAG
rnacentral:ncRNA from 2 species